rnacentral:rRNA from 1 species
UGGGGAAUAUUGCACAAUGGGGGAAAGCUCUGACGCAGUGACGCCGCGUAUAGGAAGAAGGUUUUCGGAUUGUAAACUAUUGUCGUUAGGGAAGAAAAAAUGACAGUACCUAAGGAGGAAGCUCCGGCUAACUACGUGCCAGCAGCCACGGUAAUACGUAGGGAGCAAGCGUUAUCCGGAUUUAUUGGGUGUAAAGGGUGCGUAGACGGGCGAUCAAGUUAGUUGUGAAAUCCCUCGGCUCAACUGAGGAACUGCAACUAAACUGGUUGUCUUGAGUGCAGGAGAGGUAAGUGGAAUUCCUAGUGUAGCGGUGAAAUGCGUAGAUAUUAGGAGGAACACCAGUGGCGAAGGCGACUUACUGGACUGUAACUGACGUUGAGGCACGAAAGUGUGGGGAGCAACAGGAUUAGAUACCC